UUGCCUUGACUGAUCAGGACUCCUCAGGUCACCUUCUCACAAUGAGGCUCCCUGCUCAGCUCCUGGGGCUGCUAAUGCUCUGGCUCCCUGGAUCCAGUGGGGACAUUGUGAUGACCCAGACUCCACUCUCCCUGCCUGUCACCCUUGGAGAGCCGGCCUCCAUCUCCUGCAGGUCUAGUCAGAGCCUCUUGGAUAGUGAGGAUGGAAACACCUAUUUGGAUUGGUACCUGCAGAAGCCAGGCCAGUCUCCACAGCUCUUGAUUUAUGAGGUUUCCAACCGGGCCUCUGGAGUCCCAGACAGGUUCAGUGGCAGUGGGUCAGACACUGAUUUCACACUGAAAAUCAGCAGAGUGGAGGCUGAGGAUGUUGGGGUUUAUUACUGCAUGCAAGCUCUAGAGUUUCCUCCCACAGUGGUACAGCCCCGAACAGAAACCUCCCUGCUGGGGUGUCCCAGCUGCUCACAUGUGCUGCUUCUCUGGGGAACAGUUCAGCAGGGUCUCUGAAUCUGCAGAACAAGAGGCUGUUGGAGAAUUCAGGGCAGAGUUUGCUGCUGAGAACUCUGCCUGGGACGACAGGGGCAUGCCAACAAGCAUGGCUAAUUUUUCUAUUUUUUUUUUGUAGAGUCGGUGCUUCACCAUGUUGCCCAGCCUGUUCCCAGACUCAUGGGUUCAAGCCACCCACCUGGCUUGGCCUCCCCACGUGCUGAGAGUCCAGUGUUAGCCAUUGUGCCAGGUCAGUGCCCUGUUUAUGUUCUUGUCUCCUGCCACAGCCUUGACUCUCAUAAGCGACUGGAGAAUGAGGAGGUUCUAGGGCCCUGUGAGUAAAAAAUUGGGAGGAAAGGGCAAGGAGAAUGGAAGCUCAUCUGAAUCCUGCUUCCUUGCCUGCAU